UGUAGGGGAAAAACUGCUUCUAGUUGACGGUCAGGAAACCUCCAUCCCUAUCAGAGCGCUCUGGGAACAAGUAAGGAACAGAAAAAUACGAUUCCAAACGAGUUCAUCGGUUUAUUGAUACAAUCAUAAUAUUUAUACAGCAAAAGUAGCGAGUGAUUACGUGGGCUGGUUUCUAACAUUGCUGCAUACAGCUUGUCCUGUACGCACAUAGGAAAUGUUACAAUUUCAAGUUUGUCCUAUAAG